GGGGUAUAGUUCUUCGGAACUAGAGACCGGCGCACGGGUGCGUAACGCGUAUGCAAUCUACCUUUCACAGAGGGAUAGCCCAGAGAAAUUUGGAUUAAUACCUCAUAGUAUAAUGAGUUGGCAUCAACACAUUAUUAAAGUCACAACGGUGAAAGAUGAGCAUGCGUCCCAUUAGCUAGAUGGUAAGGUAACGGCUUACCAUGGCAACGAUGGGUAGGGGUCCUGAGAGGGAGAUCCCCCACACUGGUACUGAGACACGGACCAGACUCCUACGGGAGGCAGCAGUGAGGAAUAUUGGACAAUGGGCGCAAGCCUGAUCCAGCCAUGCCGCGUGCAGGAUGACGGUCCUAUGGAUUGUAAACUGCUUUUGUACGGGAAGAAACACUGGUUCGUGAACCAGCUUGACGGUACUGUAAGAAUAAGGAUCGGCUAACUCCGUGCCAGCAGCCGCGGUAAUACGGAGGAUCCAAGCGUUAUCCGGAAUCAUUGGGUUUAAAGGGUCCGUAGGCGGUUUAGUAAGUCAGUGGUGAAAGCCCAUCGCUCAACGGUGGAACGGCCAUUGAUACUGCUAAACUUGAAUUAUUAGGAAGUAACUAGAAUAUGUAGUGUAGCGGUGAAAUGCUUAGAGAUUACAUGGAAUACCAAUUGCGAAGGCAGGUUACUACUAAUGGAUUGACGCUGAUGGACGAAAGCGUGGGUAGCGAACAGGAUUAGAUACCCUGGUAGUCCACGCCGUAAACGAUGGAUACUAGCUGU
rnacentral:rRNA from 1 species